GACGAACGCUGGCGGCGUGCCUAACACAUGCAAGUCAACGAGAAAAGGGUAGCAAUAUCCUGAGUAAAGUGGCGCACGGGUGAGUAACACGUAGGUAAUCUGCCAUUAGGACGGGGACAACCACGCGAAAGCGUGGCUAAUACCCGAUGAAUCAGCGGCGCCGCAUGGCGUUGUUGUUAAAUACCGCAAGGUGCCUGGUGAUGAACCUGCGCCCCACUUAGGUAGUUGGUGAGGUAACGGC
rnacentral:rRNA from 1 species